CAAGUACUCCCUCCGUUCUGAAUUACUUGUCGCACGUAUGGAUGUAUCUAGAUGUAUUUUAGUUCUAGAUACAUCCAUUUCAGCGACGAGUAAUUUGGAACGGAGGGAGUAGUAA
rnacentral:pre_miRNA from 1 species